AGGACACUGACAAAGACGGGGUGAGUUCAGAGGUCGACGCUCCAGUGACGAACCACCGGGGUGAUGACGACGACGACGACGAAGAAGAUCUCCCCGAGAUAGUGCUGGAUGACGUGCCUGCGGUGAGGGUGGCGGGACGGCCUCCAUUCGCUCCGCGGGUGGCCUUCAUGGUGAACAAAACACG